ensembl:lncRNA
CUUUAGAACACAAGCCUUUCCAGGGUUAUUAACCAUGCUAUAUAGUCAGCUCUGACUAACAGUUAUCAGUGUGAUGGCUUUCGCACUGUUGAACAAGGAGAUCCUUCCUCCAGAUGUGAUAGAGACAAGAUGACUUGGGGUGUGGAAGCCAAAAAGCUAUGGCAGAACCAUCCUGAUCCCUUGAUGGCAAGCAGUCUAUCCAGAAAGAAAGUUGUGGUAGGAAGACAUUUUCUCUCUUGUUUUUCUAAAAGGCUCAUCUCCCCAAAGCAUCUGCUGAAGCCUUCCUGGUCCUCAGAAAUACUGACUGAAGUGACAUGGUUUCUUCUCUUCCCAGGAUGCCUGACAGAAACCUGUUGCUGUCCACAACAUACGACAGGAAAGAGCAGGAAGGAGCUCAUGACAGAGACACAAAAAGGAUCCGAGGUCUCAGAGCUGCACUCUAAAGACAGGCUGCAUCAUUACAGAACUUCUACUCCAUACAGCCUUCCCUGACCCGGGAAAGAUAAAAAGGAAACAGCUGACCCUAAUAUGCAAACUGCCAUAAGCACUUCUUGCUUUUUCUAUUAGCAUAAGAUGGAUUGAGAUGGCUUGAGGCAGAUGUGGUUAAUAUUUCAUUCUCAGGGCUGUGUUGAAGUUGGGAGGACCAGGAAAGUCAACCAACAGAUUAAACAGUGGUGAAAGAAGAUGUUUUUAUUGGCCUCACUGGGAGCAGAAGGAAGAAUGAAUGAUUUGAGGGCAGAAAGGGCUUCAGCAAGUCUUGUAACCCUUUUUUCAACUUUGACUUCUCCAUAAUCUCAUGAAGAACUACUUUGCCUGUUCUUCAAAUGAACUUCUUGAACUCACAUUUCAUUUCUUUGUUUUUAAAUUUGGAUUUAUUUUUAACUGACAUAUAAAAUUGUACACAUUUAUGGGGUACUCUGGGAUUUGAUGCAUUGGACAAUGCAAUGUUUAAAAUCAGAUUGAAUGUAUCUAUCUCCUGAAACAUUUAUCAUUUCCUUAUAGUAAAAGUAUUCCUUUCUUCUAGCUUUUUGAGACAUGUAACACAUAAUUGCUAUUUGUAGUCACCCUACUGUACAUUAGCACACCAGAACUUUUUAUUCUGACGUAACUCUAACAUAGGACCUGUUGAUCAAUGUCUCCCUACCUCUCCCUCCCCACUACUAUCCCAGGUUCUGGUAACCACAUUCACUCUUAACUUCUUUUUUUCUUUUUCAUUAAGUUUACUGGUACAUGUUAGGUAUACAAUACAGUUACAGUCAUCAUUGGCAACUUGUACCCUUACAUGAUGUAUCUUGGUUCUUAUUUUUUCUCAAUCCCCUGCCCUCCCUUCCAACCUCUCCACCCCUCCCUAUUUACAAAGACUUUGUUUCCAGUUUUUCUUUUUCUCAUAUUUUUUCCUCUCUCUUCUUUCCUUUCCCACUUCCUCUACCCCUUUAGACCUUUUCUUCCUAUUUCACAUUACCUAUUAUACAUUUUGAUCCUUAUUUACACUUUCAGUUUUUCAUACCAGGGAAACUAUUCUGUAUUUACACAUGUGUGUUCUAUUUAUUUCACUUAGGAGUAUGGCCUCAAUAUGCAUCCAUUUAGCUCUAAAUGACUCUAGUUUCUUGUUCUUUAUGGCUGAGUAGUACUCCAUUUUAUAAAAAACCACAUCUUCUUUAUCCAGUCUCCAGUUGAUGGGCAUUUGGGCUGUUUCCAAGCUUUUAGCUCUUACAAACUGUGCUGCUAUGAACAUGGGUGCACAUAUAUCACUGUGGUAUGACUCUUUUAAUGCUUUUGGGGAAGAUCCCCAGCAGGGGAAUAGCUGGGUCAAAUGGGACCUCUAGUCCUAGUUUUUUGUCUACUCUCAACUUCUAUGAGAGAUCAACUCUUUUAGGCUUCAUGUAGGAGUGAGAUCAUGCCGUGCUUGUCUUUCUGUGCCUGGCUUGUUUCACUUAAUUUGCAUGGACUGUUGAGGGUCUGAAGGACCACAGGCAGCUGGGUCUAAAAGGAACAAAUUUCUCUACCUUCUGCUGCUUCAACAAGGUAUCUGGCUUGAUGCAUGAAAAAGCAUGAAGGUAAAGGGAAGGCAGAGGAAUGGGGAGAAUAUCAGGAGUAUCAGCGGACGGAGCUUCCAGUGUGGGGUUACAGAGGCACUUUCCUUUUCAGUCUUCUCACACUCUCCCGGGGAUGCUUUCACUGGAGUUAUUUAUUCACUCAAUUAUUUAGAAAGCACCUACUGGCUUUUAUGGUGUGCUCAGUGCUGGGUUUUCAGGGGAGACAAUGUUUUUCACCUCUGAUUCUGAGGCUUCAAGGUGGCGCUCACCCGUGGAGGCAGCAGGAAGACAAGUAGGCAGAUCCCCAUGUGGCUUCCCCUGAGGAGCAAAGGGCUCUGUUUCUGGAUCAUCUUCUGGGCUUAUUUCUCUUCUUAACCCUUCAUGUCUCAGAGAUUUGGUCUUGGCUGUGGACAAGAAAACGAACCUGAGUCAACAGAUGUUCUCUCCUCCAAAAACAUCUUCAGAAGCUGUACAGAUGUCGGAGUUCUUUUUCUUUCUGCAGCAAAUGGCAGCAUCUCUCUCCUAGAGUAAGGCUAGGAGCUUGGCAGGGGAGAUGUUGGCAUUUAGCUUCAGACUGCUGCUAAUGCUUCUUUCCUCUCUAUUUGUGGAUGCUUCUUUUAUUUCUUGUCUCAAUAUGUUUAUUUUGGAUCUCUUGUUUAUAUGCCAAAGCAACCGCUUCCUUGGAAGAGAUAUACUUUGCCAAAAUGCCAAUCUUCCAUAAGACAAGAGUUCAUUUCUGCAGUACAGAAUUUAACAGAAAAUAUUGUAUUGGAUUUAAUUUUUAGUAGUAGUUAAGUGCCUACAUUGUACUCCUCAUAUCAAGUGCCCUGGGAAUGUUGAUGUGGACUAAAGAAAACCUAAAAUUACCAAACAGUAUAAUGGGAAGAUGAAGUAAAGGGGAGUGGGCAAUGAAAAUUAAAUGAGAAAAGGCAAAGUUAAUGAAUAGGAAAAGGUUUAGUGGAGUAUUAUAGAAUUAACUGCUGAAAGAACAAAGAAGAAUAAACUGAAAAUAAAAAGGAAAGAUAAAAGCUUGGACAAGAGGAGGGUGGAGCUGGAGAAAAGCUGCUUGAGUAUUAGGACAAUUACCUCUGUGCCUCAGCCCGCACUGGAAUUACAUGGGGCAUUUUAAGCACGCCUGAAGCCUGUGUGCACUCCCCCGGCCCCGCCACCCCAGUCUGACUUAAUCAGGCCGUGCUGAGUUCUGGGCAUCAGGAUUUAAAAAAAUCUCUUUCGAUUGUAAUGUAGCUAGGGUUGAAAACUACUGUUAAGAAAAAGAAUUCUAGUGCAGCAAGUCCUAUUACAGUGUUGUCCUCAGGGGACAAAGCAGAGAUGCCACCUGUGACCAUGAGGGGUGCUGAGGGAACAGGAGCUGCUGUUUUUCCUUCUUGUCCCUUUUCCGUGAGUGUGAACCCCCAAUAGCUCUUGUGUCUCGUGACUGCUCAGUGCUGGCCUCUCAUAAACCAGAGAAUGCUAGGAUCUGCUUAAGUCAGCAUCAGUCAUCUUGUUUCCUUGAACUCCUACUACAGAGCUGGGCACUUAAUGGGUUCUUAGCCAGUCUUUCCUAGGCAUCAUCAUCCUGUUCUUUUGGAUUCUUCUGUGCUGAAUGAAGUGGGCUAAAUUUGUAUUCUUGGUUCUUCCUCUAAAUCCUGCCCUGACUUUCCAAAUCAAAUUCUGUCCUGCCCAGCUCCUGGAGAAGUUCUGAUAGGCAGAACUCAACUAGGGCAAGCCCUAGCUGAUUCCUGACAAUCGAGAACACACCACUGUGUGUGUGUGACCUGGAACACAGCCUGGAGCGCGGCCCACCCUCAGAGAGAUGGGCGUUCUUGCUAAAUUUCAAAUUUGUUUUCUCCCUUUGUUCUUGUUUCCUAAUUCCCAGGGUUACAACAGACUGGUUAUCCAGGGAGACCUGCCAUUGAAAGUGAACAUGUGGGGCGGGGAUUUAGCUCAGUGGUGCCACCACCGGCCUUGCAAAUGUAAGGUCCUGAGUUCGAUCCCUGGUACCAAACAAACAAACAAACAAACAAAACAGUGAACAUGUGUUAAAUUCUCCUAAGUAGCUACCUGUUUUGGGAAGGAGGAUUACUUUCUACUUUCCUAGAAUUUCUGAUUUCACAGUGGGGAUUUUUGCCAUAGAAGAGCUGUGGAAAAAAAUAUACAUUUCCUGCUGUCCCUGGGAAUCUUCUUUGUUUUGUCCUGCUUGCUGGGAACUCAAAGGGGUUGGCAGGCCUCAAGUAGAAUGUGGAGAAGCUAGAAUAGAGGGUUUCAUGUUGCUAAUAGACUAAUCUUAUGUCUUCAUUUGUAGAAGUCCAUUUACAAAAAAUAAAAAACAAACCAAAUAUGAUUUUGUACUCCUGCCCCACAGUAUCUCAACAGACAGCUAAAAAGCUGGAAAAUCCUGGAUGGGGAGCAGAUGGAUAAUUAUUUUUAAAAGCCGUCCCUUUUGUAGUAGUCUCUGCAUAUAAGAAAAAACAUUCUCCAUGUUAUUCUGUACAAAUGAAGAAAAGAAUUUGCUCAAGGUUCUUGGUUCAGAGUAGGCUGGGGAGAGUGUUGGUGAGAGUUAAGGAGAAUAUCUAUAUAAAUGCUUUUCUCGCUUGUUUGGUGGUGGGACUUAUCUAAUAGAAUGUAAAUGUUUUAGUGCUUAUAGGGAGCUCAAGCUCUAUUGCUGGAAUUAUGUAGCUGUGGAAUUAAGUUCUUAUCUUAUAUCCUCCAGCCUGCUAGCUGUCUCCUUGGCACAGAAUAAUGACACAGUUGUGCUUUCCAAGGAGACUUCUUGCUUCCUGCUUAGAGGAAUUUCCUGCUUCAUGUUUCAUGGGAGGCAGAUAAAGUCCCUUCAUACGUCAGUAAGGAAGAGAGAGGGGAGAGAGGUGGAGGUGCCUCCCUGGCAGUGGAGAGGAGGCAGGGAGAAUGAGGUAGGCCUUUCUUUUGUGUGGGGUCUCUGAUGCCAGAGAAGAAGAGAUAGAUGGAGAGGACUCAUCCUCUUUUCCAUGAACAGAGUUUUGUG